rnacentral:rRNA from 1 species
AUUGAACGCUGGCGGCAGGCCUAACACAUGCAAGUCGAGCGGAUGACGGGAGCUUGCUCCUCGAUUCAGCGGCGGACGGGUGAGUAAUACCUAGGAAUCUGCCUGAUAGUGGGGGACAACGUUUCGAAAGGAACGCUAAUACCGCAUACGUCCUACGGGAGAAAGCAGGGGACCUUCGGGCCUUGCGCUAUCAGAUGAGCCUAGGUCGGAUUAGCUAGUUGGUGAGGUAAUGGCUCACCAAGGCGACGAUCCGUAACUGGUCUGAGAGGAUGAUCACUCACACUGGAACUGAGACACGGUCCAGACUCCUACGGGAGGCAGCAGUGGGGAAUAUUGGACAAAGGGCGAAAGCCUGAUCCAGCCAUGCCGCGUGUGUGAAGAAGGUCUUCGGAUUGUAAAGCACUUUAAGUUGGGAGGAAGGGCAGUAAGCUAAUACCUUGCUGUUUUGACGUUACCGACAGAAUAAGCACCGGCUAACUCUGUGCCAGCCGCCGCAGUAAUAC